CAUUCUAUUAGUGGCUAAUUUAGGAUAUGCAUUUCAGGUUGGGGAUGAGGUGCUUUUGAAAAGCUUAUUCAAUUCUAGAAAAGCUGUGGCAAAAGGUCGUAUUCGUAGUGUUGAUCCAAAUCAAGAAGUUGGAGGAAAACGACUUGGACUACAAUGGUGUGAAGUUCAAGUUUCAGUUCCAAUAGAAUGGGAUGAAGAACUGAUUAGGCCGUAUUCGAAUUUGUCUACAAUUGGAGACGCAAUCGGAACAUGCGUUGCAUGGCCUCACCACUUGGUGAAAGCCGAUGAUUUGGAUUGAUGAGAUGCUGAAAUAGCUUUAAAAGUGAAGCCUAGCUAGAGGUCUCAUUCUAAAAGAAAGUGAACUGAUGAGCAGAAACUCAUUCUAAAACAGUUGAUAUCAAUAUAGACAAUAUGUAAUAAGUUUUUUACUCAUGAUUGAGUAGUUAUUCCUUCAACAGAAUAUUCAUUAGUGAUGUUUGAAAUUUUAGAUUUGAAAUAAAGCAUUUUAUAUUGGGAUU